rnacentral:rRNA from 1 species
AUUGAACGCUAGCGGGAUGCCUUACACAUGCAAGUCGAACGUAGUGGCGAAAGGGUGAGUAAUGUAUCGGAACGUCCACAGUAGCGGGGGAUAACUACGCGAAAGCGUAGCUAAUACCGCAUACUAUUGGAGCGGCCGAUAUCGGAUUAGCGAGUUGGUGGGGUAAGGGGUCACCAAGGCGACGAUCCGUAGCUUGUUUGAGAGGACGACCAGCCACACUGGGACGGAGACACGGCCCAGACUCCUACGGGAGGAAGCAGUGGGGAAUUUUGGACAAUGGGGUAAACCCUGAUCCAGCCAUCCCGCGUGUGCGAUGAAGGCAUUCGGGUUGUAAAGCACUGUUGGCAGGAAAGCGGUACCUGCAGAAUAAGCACCGGCUAACUACGUGCCAGCAGCCGCGGUAAUAC